CGUGUAGGCGGCCAGACAGGUCCGUUGUGAAAACUCGAGGCUCAACCUCGAGACGUCGACGGAAACCGUCUGGCUAGAGUCCGGAAGAGGAGUGUGGAAUUCCUGGUGUAGCGGUGAAAUGCGCAGAUAUCAGGAAGAACACCUAUGGCGAAGGCAGCACUCUGGGACGGUACUGACGCUGAGACGCGAAAGCGUGGGGAGCGAACA
rnacentral:rRNA from 1 species